UACGUAGGCAGCGAGCGUUGUUCGGAAUUACUGGGCGUAAAGAGUGUGUAGGCGGUGCUCCCAGUCUGUUGUGAAAUCUCCCGGCUUAACUGGGAGGGUGCAGCGGAAACUAGAGUGCUAGAGGGUGGGAGAGGUAGGCGGAAUUCCUGGUGUAGCGGUGAAAUGCGUAGAUAUCAGGAGGAACACCUGUGGUGUAGACAGCUUACUGGACCACUUCUGACGCUGAGGCACGAAAGCGUGGGGAGCAAACAGG
rnacentral:rRNA from 1 species